rnacentral:rRNA from 1 species
GACGAACCGUGCGAACGUUGUUCGGAAUCACUGGGCUUAAAGGGCGCGUAGGCGGGUCUUCAAGUCCGGGGUGAAAUCCUCCAGCUCAACUGGAGAAGUGCCUCGGAUACUGGCUGCCUCGAGGAGGGUAGGGGCAUCUGGAACUAGCGGUGGAGCGGUGAAAUGCGUUGAUAUCGCUAGGAACUCCGGUGGCGAAGGCGAGGUGCUGGACCCUUUCUGACGCUGAGGCGCGAAAGCCAGGGGAGCGAACGGG